GGCUCAAGAGAACAAGUCAUGUCAGAGCUGCUCUGUUGUGGUACAAGUCCCAGCUGAACCUACGGACUCAUUGUCUGCAGGUGAUGAGAGCUGGCUGAGAUUCAUCUAAAAUGUGAUUCCUGCAGUGCAACCUCAGUUUUCAGAUGAGCCUAGGUUUCUGUAGCUGAUCCCUGCCCGUUGAUGUACACGGUUGAGUGAAAGAACUGGGUGCAGAACGUUUGCAGCAACUCUACAGUGGUGAACUUGUGUGCUCAGCAUGAUGGUAAAACAAGUGGAGCGUCGUGUGAAGAGUUCGCUUGAGGAUUGACCUGUCUGCCUCAGUCAAUUAGCCGGGAAGGCAGCGCUCGCUCCUCAGCAGAUGACGUCACAUUCCUAAUGUUUGCGCAUCAAGAUGUUUUAACAGUCGUUUUAAAGAGUCUGUGAGAUGCAUAUCAUAUAAAGGCAAGAAGAAAAUAUCUUAACAUUUAAGAAAUUUGGUAGAAUGCACACGUUUUUUUUUUUUUUUUUUUUUGUCACAAGCGAGGCAUAUUUUGACGAGGCCUUCUGUUGCAGGUCGAAACUGGACUGACUUAUCACAGCAUGUCAGUCAGGCUUCCUCACUGUUGCUAAAUCUCGUUUAAAAACACUUGUUCCACGGCUUUCAAUCCAGUGUGAGAUAAUUUUAACUUCACUGUUUGUUUUAGUCUCUUAGUUAUCGUUGCCUCUGAAUUUUAUGUAUUCUGUCCUUUGUUUUGUUGUGCAGCACUUUGGUUGGCCUCACUGCUGUUUUAAAGUGCUUUUUAAAUAAAGUUGUAUGGCAUUUAUCUUGUUGAACUUGUUGCAUCCAAAGUAAAAUUGGAAGUACAAUAAUGUCAGUGGAAGUUGAUGGUCUUGUUUAAAAAAAAAGGGG